rnacentral:rRNA from 1 species
CAGGACGAACGCUGGCGGCGUGCCUAACACAUGCAAGUCGAACGGAGUCAGGAAGCUUGCUUUUGACUUAGUGGCGGACGGGUGAGUAACGCGUGAGUAACCUGCCUCUGAGAGGGGAAUAACGUUCUGAAAAGAACGCUAAUACCGCAUAACGUAUCGAAGCCGCAUGACUUGAUACCAAAGAUUUUAUCGCUCGGAGAUGGACUCGCGUCCGAUUAGUUAGUUGGUGAGGUAACGGCUCACCAAGACCGCGAUCGGUAGCCGGACUGAGAGGUUGAUCGGCCACAUUGGGACUGAGACACGGCCCAGACUCCUACGGGAGGCAGCAGUGGGGGAUAUUGCGCAAUGGGGGCAACCCUGACGCAAGCAACGCCGCGUGAAGGAUGAAGGUUUUCGGAUUGUAAACUUCUUUUAUCAGGGACGAAGCUUGACGGUACCUGAUGAAUAAGCUCCGGCUAACUACGUGCCAGCAGCUGC